GUCCCUGCCCUUUGUACACACCGCCCGUCGCUACUACCGAUUGAAUGGUUUAGUGAGAUCUUCGGAUUGGGGCCGGCGCGGUCGGCAACGGUCGCGGCGGAUUUCGAAAAGUCGUUCUAACUUGAUCAUUUAGAGGAAGUAAAAGUCGUAACAAGGUUUCCGUAGGUGAACCUGCGGAAGGAUCAUUAGCGGGAGCUCCCUUUGGAGUCUCUCCCCCGUGCACUCGGAACGACUGGAAGGGCGCGGCGUUAGUGGCAUUUGCUACACGGUCGAGCGGUGUUUCGCGCCGCACUCUCCUGGCCGGGGGUUUGCCUGGGCCCUCUUGUCGGUGGUUGGGUAGUGGAGGGGGGAGGCAAUUAAAGUUGUGUGGUCCUGCAGGCGGUCUGCGCCCCGAGGGCGGCAAGGCCGCGUGCCCUUUCGCGCCCCGAACGUUGUUUUUGAAUACUGUGUUUGCGGGACUUUGUGUCCGAAAGACGUGGCGUUUGCCACGCACAACUUCUAACGGUGGACACCUCGGCUCGUGUACCGAUGAAGAGCGCAGCAAGCUGCGAUACCUAGUGUGAAUUGCAGAAUUCAGUGAAUCAUCGAGUUCUUGAACGCAAAUGGCGCUUUCGGUAAGGCCGGGAGCACGUCUGUCUGAGCGUCCUUUGUUCUUGGAGAAGGGUGUUGGGAUGUCGCUCUCGGGGCGUCUCCUCAAGUGUACCAGAAAGGGUGGCUGCUACUCUUGUCAUGAUUGUCAGGGGCGGCGGUUACAGCUGUUGGCAUGUUUGAAAUUGCCAGAUGGACCUCAGAUCAGGCGAGAUUACCCGCUGAAUUUAAGCAUAUCAAUAAGCGGAGGAAAAGAAACUAACCAGG
rnacentral:rRNA from 1 species